CAAUGAGUAAWUUANAUAGCUGCAGUAUUNUNACUNUGCAAAGGUAGCAUAAUAAUUAGUCUUUUAAUUGAAGACUAGAAUGAAAGAUUUGAUGAGAAAUAAACUUUAUUAUUUAUAUAAUUAAAAUUUUAUUUUUAAGUAAAAAAGCUUAAAUAUUUUAAAGGGACGAUAAGACCCUAUAAAACUUUAUAAUUUUAUAUAUUAUAAUUUUUGGUUUAUAUAAAUUUUAAUAUUUAGAAUUAUUUUAUUGGGGUGAUAAAAAAAAUUAUUAAACUUUUUUUAAAAUUUAACAUAAAUUAAUNAUAUAUUUGAAUUAAAAUUUUUAUUUAAAUGAAAAAGUUACUNUAGGGAUAACAGCGUAAUUAGUUUUUUAAGUUCAAAUUUNAAAAUUAGUNUGCGACCUCGAUGUUGANNNAAGAUUAAUCUUAGGUGC
rnacentral:rRNA from 1 species